UACGGAGGGAGCUAGCGUUAUUCGGAAUUACUGGGCGUAAAGCGCACGUAGGCGGCUUUGUAAGUAAGAGGUGAAAGCCCAGAGCUCAACUCUGGAAUUGCCUUUUAGACUGACAUCGCUUGAAUCAUGGAGAGGUCAGUGGAAUUCCGAGUGGUAGAGGUGAAAUUCGUAGAUAUUCGGAAGAACACCAGUGGCGAAGGCGGCUGACUGGACAUGAGUUGACGCUGAGGUGCGAAAGCGUGG
rnacentral:rRNA from 1 species